rnacentral:rRNA from 1 species
UCCAGACUCCUACGGGAGGCAGCAGUGAGGAAUAUUGGUCAAUGGUCGGGAGACUGAACCAGCCAAGCCGCGUGAGGGAGGAAGGUACAGAGUAUCGUAAACCUCUUUUGUCAGGGAACAAAGGCGGGGACGUGUCCCCGGAUGAGUGUACCUGAAGAAAAAGCAUCGGCUAACUCCGUGCCAGCAGCCGCGGUAAUACGGAGGAUGCGAGCGUUAUCCGGAAUUAUUGGGUGUAAAGGGUGCGCAGGCGGCACGUAAAGUCCGGUGUGAAAGGCAGGGGCUCAACCUCGGGACCGCCGUUGAAACUGGCAGUCUUGAGUUGGAGAGAAGUAUGCGGAAUGCGCGGUGUAGCGGUGAAAUGCAUAGAUAUCGCGCAGAACUCCGAUUGCGAAGGCAGCAUGCCGGCUCCACACUGACGCUGAGGCACGAAAGCGUGGGUAUCGAACAGGAUUAGAUACCCCAGUA